GAUGAACGCUGGCGGCGUGCCUAAUACAUGCAAGUCGAGCGAACGGACGAGAAGCUUGCUUCUCUGAUGUUAGCGGCGGACGGGUGAGUAACACGUGGAUAACCUACCUAUAAGACUGGGAUCACUUCGGGAAACCGGCGCUAAUACCGGAUGAUAUUUUGAACCGCAUGGUUCAAAAGUGAAAGACGGUCUUGCUGUCACUUAUCGAUGGAUCCGCGCUGCAUUAGCUAGUUGGUACGGUAACGGCUUACCAAGGCUACGAUGCAUAUCCGACCGGAGAGGGUGAUCGGCCACACUGGAAGUGAGACACGGUCCUGAGUCCUACGGGAGGCAGCAGUAGGGAAUCGUCCGCAAUGGGCGAAAGCCUGACGGAGCAACGCCGCGUGAGUGAUGAAGGUCUUCGGAUCGUAAAACUCUGUUAUGAGGGAAGAACAUAUGUGUAAGUAACUGUGCACAGCUUGACGGUACCUAAUCAGAAAGCCACGGCUAACUACGUG
rnacentral:rRNA from 1 species